rnacentral:rRNA from 1 species
UACGUAGGGUGCAAGCGUUGUCCGGAAUUAUUGGGCGUAAAGAGCUCGUAGGCGGUUUGUCGCGUCUGCUGUGAAAACGCGAGGCUCAACCUCGCGCCUGCAGUGGGUACGGGCAGACUAGAGUGCGGUAGGGGAGAAUGGAAUUCCCGGUGUAGCGGUGAAAUGCGCAGAUAUCGGGAGGAACACCGGUGGCGAAGGCGGUUCUCUGGGCCUUACCUGACGCUGAGGAGCGAAAGCGUGGGGAGCGAACAGG